AUCUCUGAAUGCCUGAGAGCUUCUGAAGUUUUAGUCCUGUUUCUUGAAGUUGGCCCAGCAACAUGAAAAAACGAUGAAGAGUAACAUUAGAAGAUGUUAUGUAACUCAAUUCCAAUACUGACUGAAAAUGUAUAAAGGAAUUCUAAGCACUGAACAACAACUGAGGGGAAACAGAAGUUUCAAGACAAGUUCUUGGCGAGAUGUAUCAAAACAUAGUGGAGGCUUGAUAACUUCCAGCAGGACAAUUUUAUUACAGCCUGUGAAUUGAAACUGCAAAUGAGGGUUAAUUCAAAACACUGGAAGAAUAUUAAUGGUUACCAUAUUUCAAUGUGCAAUAAGGAAGAAUGUCAUAUGGGAUGCACCAAAUGAUAGCAUCACUGCCUGGGGAGAAGACCAGAAAUUAGAACAAGAAGCCAGAGUGGCUUCUCAGGUGUCCAGUGUUCUACAUGAAGAUAUAUCCUAGAGAAAUGAAGCUAUAAGUGUUUUCAUUUUUUUUUUUUUUUUUUUUCAAUUUUGAAGCUUGUUUUUACUCUCAUAAGCAGAUGUUUUCCUCUUGUUUUCUAAACUGACAUGGGAUAAAAUAAACCUCCAUGAACUAGAAGAAAACAAUAUAGCUCCUCAGAGGCUGUUGGAUUUUUGCUCAGAUGCCUAACAACUGCUACGUUCUUCACUUGAUCCAGGCAUAAUUUGCCCAUGUAAAUCUUUAAUAAAACAGCCACGUUCCUUCUU